UUCUUUCUUUCUUUCUUUCUUUCUUUCUUUCUUUCUUUCUUUCUUUCUUUCUUUCUUUCAACAUUUAUUUAUUUUUGAGACAGAGCAUGAGUAGGGGAGGGGCAGAGAGAGAGGGAGACACAGAAUCUGAGGCAGGCUCCAGGCUCCUGAGCCAAAGUCGGAUGCUUAACCGACUGAGCCACCCAGAUGCCCCUCCCCUGUGUCAUUCUUACAAGCAGCAGAUCUGGUAGCAAUGAAUGCUUCAAACAGCUGACCAAACGCUGCUUUAUUCAUUCUACAGAAAAAGGUAAGUAGGUCAAAGUGCCUGUCAUGGUCAGGUAGAAGGGACUUUUCAUGCAGCACCCAUGUUAGCCUCUCCUAGUCUGAGGUCCAAGUGAAGGUUCACCAACACCAUGGACUCUCCACCUGUGGCUGGAACACCCUCCCAAGGGAUCUCUAACAUUGACCAAUGUAUGAAGUUUGUCUGGACCACAAUUAAGGAUACUGCAACAUCUUCCAGACAGAACUCUGGGCUAAGAAGGCCAUGUGACGUGGAAGAGAAAGGGAGUGUGAUACCAUCACUCAAAUACAACACAGAUACAUACACUCGUCAUUGUAAUUUCCAUAAAUGGGAUAUCAUAUUUACUUCUCUGAAUCUUGCUUUCCCUUAAAUAUUCUCACAAAAAUGCCUCCAAAUCAACUAAUAGUGGGUCUUACCCACCGUGGGUUUUUUUUUUUUGGCAGCUAAUAUUCCACAGUAUGGAUGUGCCAUAUUUUACUCAAUCAUUCCCUGAAAAAUAGGCAUUUAUUUUAUUUCUGGGGGUUGGUUGGUUUGCCCUUGAAAACCAUACUGUAAUAAACAUCCUUUGGCACUGGGGCCAUUUUUUUCUAUAGGGUAGAUUCUCAGGAGCAGGACUGCUAUACUGAAGACUACUUAUGGGUAUUAUAUAGUUAUAUUAUGGAAGGGGUUCCAAGAUCAGGAUGUAGAGCUGUAUAUGUAGCAUCUGCUUGGUUUUGUAUGGAGUCUCUGGAAGAACACACCUGAAAUGGGUGUCCUUGCGGGAGGGGAACUAGGUUACAGUGGACGGGCAGGGGGAGACUUACUUUCUGGGUGCCAUCUGAAUGUUUUAUCACGUGCAUAUUCUGCUCAUUCGAAAACAAAAAAAUAUUUUUCAGGCUGCCUUCUAAAGAGGUUGCAAUGAUUCACACGUCCUCUAGCAACCUGGGAGAGUACUUAGCUGAGCUCACUAAUGCCCUGUAUUUUUCUCCUUCAAGACUGUCCCUCCUGCCCCCUUCUUGUUUUGACCUAGUAUGAGUUGAAACAUGUCAGAUGUUACCUUCUUGUGAUCCAUAAUUCCUUCUAUUCACAGCCCUUGGGCAGGUAGGAAGCAGACUCCCAGAGAUGCUAAUUUUGACACGUCAGUCUGGCCAGCCCUUCCCCAUAGCACAAAAAAGAAGCCCAAGCCAUGGUGGCAGCCAGAUCUUCAGGGACCUGAGGGCACGGAUGGCAGAGACAGACAAGGGCAGGGGGCUCUCUCUCCUCCGAUGCUUGCAGGUCACACUGUUUUAAACUCACGCUGGCUGAGCUGCCCUCUCUAGCCGAGUGGCCUUAGAGUCUCCCAAAUGCCCAAAGUCUCUCAGAAAAGGGGAGAGAGGCCUGCAGCGGCUGCUGCCCGAGGGACCCACACUCUCAAGAACAAGGCCAGAGACAAGAAACAGGAGGGAACGGGGGACAGAAGACACAAAAGAAUCAAGCUCAUACAAACAGGAGGCCUUCUCAUUCAUUUCCUGCAGGCCAGGCAUCCUCUACAGCUGGCCCCAAACCAAAGGCCUCGCCAGCCAAUGCUUUAAGCCCCACUGUGACUCACGAGACAGGAAAACAAAGCUGACCUCGCACAGAGAGCAAGGGCCCCUCGUAUGGCAGCAACUCCAAUAUAAACACCUGCUACUGCAUUGCUGGCCGAAGUUCUGGACUAACCUGCAGAGGGGAGGGGAACAGAUGAGAAAGCAGCUCUGGGGAGGGGGGGCGGGGGUUGGGAAGAGCAUGGGAGAACAUCUCAACACAGGCAGCAAGUCCAUUUGAUUCAGGUCCUCUGCUACCGUUCUGCAGCCUACGCUCCGGUCUGAGCUGGGACUGGCGUAGGGGAAGCCCCAGCCUUUGCUCGAGCAGUCCCCUCUGUCUGGAUGACCUUGCCCUUGAUCCUUUGAGACCCAGCUCGGCAAGGAUGUGUACAUGUGGGUGUUGGCUGGAGCGGCCUCUGUAAGUGAGGAAAAUGGGAGACAACCUGAGUGUCUGUUAGCAGGGAUGAGCCAACAAAUUUUGAUGCGGACACGCAACAGAAUCCUUUAUGUCUUCCCUUCCCUCAUCCUCCAUGGCCUCCGUGGCAAGUUCACUGAAUGGUUCUAUUGCCACUGUUUCCAAAAAUAUAUCCUAAAUCCAUUUCUUUUCUCCUCUUUUCUUUAUCUUUUUUUCAAGUUUAUUUAUUCAUCUUGAGAGAGACAGAGGCAGUGGGGGCGGGGUGGGGGGGGGCAGGGAGAGAGGAAGAGAGAAUCCCAAGCAGGCUCCACACGGUCAGCUUGGAGCCUGAUAUAGGGCUCGAACUCCCCAAACGUGAGAUCAUGACCUAAACUGAAACCAAGAGUCGGACGCUUAACCGACUGAGCCACCCAGGCGCCCCCUCCUCUUUUCUAAGCCAAGCUACCACCCUCAUCUUUCACCUGGACAACUCCAUCAGAUCCCUGCUGGUGGCCUGGAGUCCCCUCUUGCCUUCUUAGAUUCUAUUCUCCACACACAGCCAGAGUGAUCAAAUCAAACAGGAAUCACAUCAGAUUGCUUUCUUGCUUAAAAAAUCCCUCGAACUUCAUCUCCUUCCAUUUCACCCAUUGCUCAACGCUCCCACCACACUGGCCUUCUUUCCCUUACAAGCUUAUUCCUACCCCAGGGCCUUUGCACAUUUUGCUCUAGCUAUUCUCAAGGCUGGUUUCUUCCUGCCAGUAAGGCCUCCCUGUGACUGUAUACAGUGAGUAGGCAUGAAAUCUAACUACAUGCAAUGAUAUGGACUUCUCACAGACAUAAUGUUGACUAGAAAGGCCAGACACAAAGGAGCAUUUACAUAAAGUUCAAAGUCAGGUGUGAGACAUCAAGAGAGUGGUUUUGCCUAGACGAGAGGAGUAACUGGGAUAGAAUAGGAAAGGGACUUCUGGGGGCUAGAAAUACUGUUCUUAGAGCAGGUUACAUGAGUGUGUUCAGUUUGUGAAAGUUCAUCUAGCUACACACUUUCAGCAUGUGCCCUUGCUUAUAUAUCUACACACACACAAGAGCUUAAUAAAAUGUUUAAAGAAUUAAAAACAUUUUGGCUGCCCAUAGUAUUCCUUAUGAUUUGGGAAUUUCCCACCUAUGGGUCUUGGUGGGAGGCUGGGCCUACCUCCCAUUAUCAGAUAUUACAAAGGCCAGGAACUGGCUCUCACAGCCUCCCCUGCAGCCAGACCAUGAGUUCUACCCAGCAGAUACACCCUCCCUCCAUGGCUUAAAUGCAGCUUGGAGAACUAGGAUGUAUUUAGCUUGGCGUUUGGAGCGCAGCCUGGCACGAGAGGAGCUCAUUGAGGCUUGAUGAAUGGAAACAGGACCACCCCCACACCAUUUCCUCCCCCAGCACAAUAAUUCAAGAUUGGACCAUUCUGUACUUGGGAGCUCAUUCAUGCUUUCAAGAAAUGUUUACUGAGUGCCCAUUUGGUGCCAGGCACUGCUCUAGGCACUAGGAAUCCAGGUGAACAGAACACUGGAGUUAAUGAUCCUAGUGGGGAAGAUGAACAAUAGAAUAAGUAAGAGAUAGGUUAGUUAGGUGGUACAGAGAAAAACAGAAAAGAGAGAUGAGAACCUCCCUGAGGAGGUAACAUAUGAACAAAGACUUAUAGGAUGUUAGGGAGGAUGUGGGUAUGAGAGAAGAGCUUUCCUGGUAGCAGGAAGAGCCAGUACAAGGGCCCUGAGGUAGGCACAUACCUGGGUGUCUGUGGAGCACAAAGGAGGCCCAUGUGCCUGGAACAGGGCAAGUGAGGAGAACAGAAGGAGGAGAUGGACCCACAGGUAAUGGGGCAGAUUGUGUGGGGCCUCGUUGGGCAUGGUGAGGACUUUGGCUCUUACUCUGGAUAAGAUGGAGCCAUGGGAGGGUUAUCAGCAGAGGAGGGUCAGAUCUGAUUGGGUGACGACAGAGUUCCUCUGGCCGCUUAUCCAACUCUCUCCUCUGCCCAAGAUGGAAACCAAUCCCAAUGAGAAAGAGAAGUUUGGUCAUUUGUGUAGCAAAUGUCUGUCUGAAAUAAGCAAAAGCUCUCCACCCGCUUCCUCCAACCCAUCAAGGCCUCGUGCUGGCCAGCAGGGCUCUGCAACACAAUUAACAAUCCAUACUCUAUUAUAGGAAACCAGACCCUUCCCUUCUGGUCACUGGGAGAAUUCCCAAAAGCAGAUGAAGAAGCAAUAAGGCCACGUGGCCAGGAGAGCACCAGCUCCGUAGUCAGCCACAGCCACAAUCAAGUCCCAGCACUGCCUCUUAGCACCUGUGUGACCCAUGACUCCUCACUAGACCUUUCUGAGUCCCAGGCUUCCUUAUCAGUACAGAGGGGAGGGGAGAGGAGGAGUAAUUUCUGCCCUCGACAGGACUGUUGGGAAGAUUAAAUGAGCUAACAGGUAUCAAGUGACUGGCAAAGUGCCUGGCACAGAGGGAGGCCUAAAAGAUGUUAGCAAAGCUGUCAUAGUAACUGGAAUACUGAAGAAAUAAUAAGCGACAUUCUCAGCUUCUCAAGUCUGAGGGUGUCCCUUGGGCAAACUGGACUCUGAUGAUAUUAAGCAGAGGGCUGAAGUGAAGGGUCCUCCUGAGGAGGGACUCCUUCCAAAUGGAAGUUUCUUUCUCCCUCUACCUAUUCUCCAUGAGGUAACUGCCCAGAACAUCAUCAUCCAAGCUAUCCACGCACGCUUCUCUGUGCUUCACAAGCAGAGGCCCCAGUGGAAGAGACCCUGGCCUGUAUCCACCUCUCUCAAGGAAAUGAAGGAAAAAGGACUGUGCAGCACAUAUACUUAAAAUAAAAGAAGAAGAAGAAGGAAAAAGGACUAAAGCCCAACAACUUAUGUAAACUAUGUUUACUACACACCUCAGCCGUGAAGUCGGGAUGAGAGCAACGUGGCCUCAGAGGGCUGCCAUUAGGAUUCAAGGAGAUGACACAGGUCAGCAAGCCCUUUCUUCAUAAACAGUCCCAAAGAACAGCCAGCCCAGUUUCUGUCAGGAGGGUCGCAAAUCUAGCCUCAGUGGGGGAUCGGAAUGAAAAGAGAUUGGACUCAACUUCUCCGGUAGCUGGGUGGCGGAGGAAGCCCUCAUGAGCUCAUUUCUCCAUCAAAUACAAGCUGGGGUCUAAAGUUUCAAAACACAGGCUGGGGCAUGCUGGCACAGUCCCAUGAGAGGACAAAGAAAAGAGAAAAGAGGCUGGAUGGAAGAGAAGCCACCACACGGCAGGUUCCACAACUAACUGUCGGGAGGAGGCUCCCAGGCUGGCUUCCAGCCACAUCCGCUCUCUGCACAGCUCUGAGACUGCAGGAAGAAGGGACCCCCACCAUGUCUGUAUUUACAGCUGGGAACUGGCAUGGGCACGGGAAACUCGGAAAUAAACUCCGUCAGGAAGCGAGAACUGGAAGAUGCUUCCAUAGCAACGCCCAUCUGGAGCUCCCUGCCCGCAGCUGGAAACAUUCAGAAGCGAAGCUUAUCUAGAGAUGUCCACCAAAUUCAUUUUUUCCAUUUGCACCUGGAAUAUGUUACUUAAACUUCACUUCUCUGGGGAGCCUCUGGGAAGCCCCUAUUCUUUGGCUCAAAAAAAUCCUAUCCUGAACAUUUAGGACACAGGACUCAUCAGGGUGGCUGUGUGUUUCUCCCUCUCUCUGUGGAGAGGUGGGCUGUGUCUGCCUUGCUCACUCGUACCUGGCCCAGAACAGGUCUUUAAUCCAUGCUUCCUGAAUAAAGAAGUCAACUGGUUUGUUCUCGAUUUUGUUCUUCAUAACUUUAGCUACCAUGUAAGCACCUGUAUGCACAUGGCAAUGAACUGAGAUGCACGACACCCCAUGAGGGACUUACUACUGUUACGCCCACUUUGAAAAUGAGGCUCCUUCUCAAGGUCAAAGCCACAAAAGAACUGGAGUUCUUUCAUCUCAAGAGAAGGAUAGGAGAGAGUGUGACUAUCUAUCUAAAGCAGGGCUGGACAGGUAGAGGGACAUAUAAUGAGUCGGCUCUGACACUAAGAACUCUUUGAGUAGAAAUGUUAUAGAGCUGGAGUGUAUCCCUCAUCAAGGAACUCUGGAACACAUGCUUCUUGGGACACAAACAUUAAACAGCCUGCUACAUCCCGGGAGAAUUCUACCCAACCUUCCCAGAAACCACAGCUCACAUGAUUCCUUACCUUUAACAUAUUUUUUUCUGCUUAUGAAAGCAAUAUAUGCUUAUAUAUGCAUAUAAAAAAAAACUUGGAAAAUAAAGAAAGUGCAAAGAAGAAUAUAAAGUUACCCAUCAUCUUCCCACCAAGGGAUAACCACUGUAAAGAUGUUGGUUUAUUUCCUUCCGUCUUUUUUUCUAGUGUGAACAGUGUGUGUAUAGGAGAGAUAUGGAAAGAGAGAUUUUUUUUUUCCCCUUUAAAGUCUCCUACCUGUGCUUUUCUGUGAGACUUUUAAACAUCAAGUGAAAAAUAAUAUUUUCAAAUGGCAAAAUUAAGCCUAUUUCCUCAAACUACAGACGUGGGGAGGAAGGAGCCUUCCCUGUUCCUCUCCUCCAAUUUCUGCUUCCACCUGACCCCUACUACAGACCAGCAGUUCUCAAUCCUAACUGUGCCUGACCAUAACAGUAACUGCCACAGU